GGGAGAAACUCCUUUCGCUGUGUAUUUUUAAAGUGGAAAGCAGGGUCACCCCAGUAUCCGACUCUGCUUCUCAGUGUGGGACCAUUACCUGUCCUUACACCAUGCUCUUCUUCCUCUUACAGGAUGGCUGGUAGUGUGAUGGAUAAGCAACAGAAGUCAAGUGGAUGAACGGGACUAUAGUAAACCGAAACACCUGUUUACACAUAGCAAAGGUGGUGAGAACCUGAGGAAGAAAUGACCAACAGGAUGGGAAGGAAACCUUUACAAAGUCGUAAGAGAUUAAUAGUCAAACUGCACAGAACUGGAAAGUGCCAACAGAAACAAAAGCAAACCAAUCACGGUUGUAUAUACAGAAAAUUAUUUACAUACAGACAGAAGACUGCUCUCUUAUGGACUUCUGUAUUCCCAGGGCUUUGGCGAAACAUUGGAAAGCUUCUCCCUACUCAGAAGCAGGCCUCCUGGUGUUAAGAUAGUGUCCAGUCUAUAGACAUCAAUCUAAAAGGCAAACAGUUUCUGACAAGGGCCUCCUGCGGCAUCCUCUGACUGAGAAGCAGCAGAAUGAACACACAGGUGCACAACGAGGGACCACACUGGCAGAGGAAGAAGCAGGAGUGAUAAGAAGAGACGUACAGUACCCAACUGUUGCGGCUAUCGAUAGACUGUUCUGACUCAGGCUGGAGGAGUGAACCUGUUUACUCAUCCUUCUUGGCCUCACAGGACUACUGGCUAUCAUCAGAGAGAAAUCCACCUAACAAGAUGAAAAUGCUAAUUCUGGCCUGGCUCAUCCACGCCUGUCCUCUUAGCGACUCGCAAUGCUGUGCUGUCUACUCUCUGCGGUCCAUCUAAUGUAAAUCAAUG